rnacentral:tRNA from 1 species
GGGGUUGUGGCUCAGCGGUAGAGCGCUCGCCUAGCAUGUGUGAGGCCCUGGGUUCGAUCCUCAGCACCACA